AAGGAAAAAGAACCAACAGGACAAACAACAGUUGAUGAUACCACAGAAAUACGUGUUCCAUUGCCAUCUCACGUAGAAGCACCCAUAGGUGAACCUAAACCAGCAGAGGAUGUGGAGUUAAAUUAUGAAAAUGAACCAACAGAACAAACAACGGUUGAAGAUGUAGAAGCACCCAUAGGUGAACCUAAACCAGCAGAGGAUGUGGAGUUAAAUAAUGUAA